AGAAAACAAAGUAAAAUUGGUUCAAAAUGCAAAGCUUGAGAUCAUCUAUUCUGAAGUAUGUACAGGUUAAGGUCCCAAAACAAGUAUUAUCAUCUCAAGUUGAAGGCCGGAGUGCGUUAAAUAUUCUCAAUUUGCAAAUACGCACCUGUAGCAAUUCUGGUUCCACCGAUCAGGAUCAGAUAAAGGAACAAGUGCUUAACCUGGUGAAGAAAUUUGACAAGAUUGAUGCAACCAAGGUCACUGAGAGUGCUGAUUUCCAGAAGGACUUGAGCCUAGACAGCUUAGAUAGAGUGGAACUUGUCAUGGCUUUUGAACAAGAAUUCUCGAUUGAGAUACCUGACGAAGAGGCAGACAAGCUUAAAUGUUGUGCCGAUGUUGCUCAGUAUAUCAUUUCUGGAGCUGAGAAGAAAGCUCAGGAGAGCUCCUAGAGUAACUUAUUAGUUAUCUCAAGGAGAGGAUGUCACGUCAUCAGAAUAGACAAAGGUUUUUUUGGAACAUUCUCCUAGAUAGUGUUUCUUUUGUCUGAUAAGCUGUUGAAUCCCAG
rnacentral:misc_RNA from 1 species